GUGCUUACUUUUGUAGCACAUAUAUGAUAACUGGAAGGAUAUAGGGAUUAGCAUGGUCCGGUCAAGAAUGAUAUGCAAAAUCUGGAAGAGGUCCAUAUUAAA
ensembl:snRNA U6 U6 spliceosomal RNA